rnacentral:rRNA from 1 species
CCCUUAGAUGUUCUGGGCCGCACGCGUGUUACACUGAUGCGGGCAUCAAGCCUACCUAGACUCGAAAGGUCCGGGGAAUCUUCAAAUCGCAUCGUGCUGGGGAUAGACUGUUGUAAUUUUCAGUCUUGAACAAGGAAUUUCUAGUAAGCGCGAUUCAACAAAUCGCACUGAUUACGUCCCUGUCCUUUGUACACACCGCCCGUCGCUACUAUCGAUUGGAGUAUUUAGUGAGGUCUACGGACUGGGACCCUUUGGGAGAUUUUAUAUUUCCCUUAGAGAUCUGGAAAGUAGCACGAACUUGAUGCUCUAGAGAAAGUAAAAGUCGUAACA